rnacentral:lncRNA from 12 species
GCCCGCCCGCCCUGCUGGCACUGCUGGCACGGGGCUCGGGGCUCCCCCGGCCCCAGCACAGCUCUGCUGCCCCUCUGCAGCCCCUGCCCCUCGCAGGGACCACAGCACACCUGUGGACAGGUGUGUCCCACCCCUCACACAGUGGAUUCCCGCGUGCUGGAUCCUGUUCCCAGCUCCUUUCGGCCUUUCGCAGCUUGUUCAAUCUGGCAAUUCUUUCUGGCAUAAGGAUUUAACUGUUGAAGCUCAUAAUGAUGCCACGCAGUUUUUCUCAAUUACAGGGACAGGGAACAACGACAGGAAACAAAUAGACCAGCACUCAGAAAACUGCCCAAGAUCUGCCUAUAUUUUGGCUUUAUAUGAGUUUAAUUAAAGGCAGUGGAAAACUGUGUUUGCUUUCUGCUUCUUCUGGUCAUGCCAACUUCUUCCAUCCUAUCACAAAAAAAAAAAAAAAAACCAAAACCAAA